rnacentral:rRNA from 1 species
CCUACGGGAGGCAGCAGUGAGGAAUAUUGGUCAAUGGGCGCGAGCCUGAACCAGCCAAGUAGCGUGAAGGAUGACUGCCCUACGGGUUGUAAACUUCUUUUAUAAAGGAAUAAAGUGAGGCACGUGUGCCUUUUUGUAUGGACUUUAUGAAUAAGGAUCGGCUAACUCCGUGCCAGCAGCCGCGGUAAUACGGAGGAUCCGAGCGUUAUCCGGAUUUCUUGGGUUUAAAGGGAGCGUAGAUGGGUUGUUAAGUCCGUUGUGAAAGUUUGCGGCUCAACCGUAAAAUUGCCAUUGAUACUGGCAGCCUUGCGUACAGUUGAGUUAGGCGGACUUCGUGUUGUAGCGG